UGAGCCUCCCAUUUUUGACAAUGCUGCU
rnacentral:piRNA from 1 species